UGGGGAAUAUUGGACAAUGGGCGCAAGCCUGAUCCAGCCAUGCCGCGUGAGUGACGAAGGUCUUCGGAUUGUAAAGCUCUUUUUGGCGGGGACGAUAAUGACGGUACCCGCAGAAUAAGCCCCGGCUAACUUCGUGCCAGCAGCCGCGGUAAUACGAAGGGGGCUAGCGUUGUUCGGAAUCACUGGGCGUAAAGCGCACGUAGGCGGAUUUGUUAGUCAGGGGUGAAAUCCCGGGGCUCAACCUCGGAACUGCCUCUGAUACUGCAAAUCUCGAGUCCGAUAGAGGUGAGUGGAAUUCCUAGUGUAGAGGUGAAAUUCGUAGAUAUUAGGAAGAACACCAGUGGCGAAGGCGGCUCACUGGAUCGGUACUGACGCUGAGGUGCGAAAGCGUGGGGAGCGAACAGGAUUAGAUACCCCCGUAGUCCCUGAGCGGGCUGGCAAGGCGCAU
rnacentral:rRNA from 1 species